ACUGGGCUGGGGCAACGCUGAUGAAAGGCAAAUUCCUGAGAGAAAAAUCACCCAGACUACCUCAUUACCAUGUUCCUCCAAGAUGGCCGCCCCUGAGGAGAAUCAUCAACUGGGCUUUACGGAAGAGAGAAAUCCAAACGACCAUCAGCAACAAAUGAAAGACUGAAGUUGAAAGGCAAGUCUUCAGAUUUGAAGUAAGAGCUUGAGAAGAAAAAUGAAAAAAGAAUCCUGGAGAUGACCAGCAUUUAGUGGGGUGAGGAAGAAGAGAAAAGCAGCAAGUAAAGAAUAAAAGUUUCAAGAUUGUCAAGAAUGACGAGUUGGACUUGGUCUAGUUACUUCCACAGCAGCAGGAGGAACAUGUGUGUGACUCAGGAUAACUGGGGAAGCCUUGGCUAGGCUUUCCUCAUGUCAACCUACCACUCAAAGGGAGAAAACCUCCUGAUCAGAGGUGCCCAGAACCCAGGAAAUCCAUAAUUUUUGAAUGCUGGCCGAGGUCUGUGACCUCUGACUGAAUGGUUUCCAAGCUCCGAAUUCCUAGGUGAUGUUUUCAUUUGUUCACACUUGCUGAAGAAGGGAAAGGCUCUCUGAUUUACGUGUAAGCAAAACAAUCUAAACAGUAGGAUAAAAUCAUGUUGGAAUGGAGUUCUGUGUGGAUGCUCCUUUGAACCAAAUCAGUUCCACAACUGACCCUG
rnacentral:lncRNA from 10 species